UACGUAGGGGGCAAGCGUUGUCCGGAAUCAUUGGGCGUAAAGAGCGUGUAGGCGGCCCGGUAAGUCCGCUGUGAAAGUCCAGGGCUCAACCCUGGGAUGCCGGUGGAUACUGUCGGGCUCGAGUCCGGAAGAGGAGUGUGGAAUUCCUGGUGUAGCGGUGAAAUGCGCAGAUAUCAGGAGGAACACCGGUGGCGAAGGCGGGAUCGCUGGGAACA
rnacentral:rRNA from 1 species